rnacentral:rRNA from 1 species
CGGCGAACGGGUGCGUAACACGUGAACAAUCUGCCCUGAAGUCCGGGAUAGCCUCUGGAAACGGAGAUUAAUACCGGAUGUGGUAUGGUUCCCGCAUGGGGAUCACACCAAAGCUUGGGAUGGCGCUUCAGGAGGGGUUCGCGGCCUAUCAGCUAGUUGGCGGGGUAAUGGCCCACCAAGGCGAAGACGGGUAGCUGGUCUGAGAGGAUGAUCAGCCACACUGGAACUGAGACACGGUCCAG